ACGAAAUGCAUAUUGAAAGAAUAUUGUAGUACAAAGGAACAACAAAAGAUACAACUGUUAUCGAGUCAGAGAUAAGAAGUUAGUAAAAUUUUCUCUAACAAGAAGCAAUUAUACAGAAAAACAACAUUCAUUUGAAAUACUCAUCAUCUGGGAAAUUGGACAAAAACUUGUUAAAUAUUGGUUCGAAGAUGUAUUCUUCGCAGAAGUUGAAAGGUUAUCGUCAAAAUCUGCAAUGCUAAUUGCUUGAUUUGGAUUCAACUUCCUAGGAAUGGAAAAAGAGCUAAAUAUAGCUAGAAGACAAAUCCCAUUACGAAAACAUGUAUUACAAAUAUAUAGUCGACAUGAUAUCUUAAAAAAUUUUUUCCGGAUUCUGGACUAUCUCCUUCGAAUGGUGCAGAGUUUUCUAAGAAAGCUCCUUUACGAGACCACUGAAGAACCCCGCAGAAAAGAUAUCACCGGGGGAUCCAUUCAGGGAUCUAUCCUGGUCCUAUGAAAAGUCUUCUAUGGAUGAAAACCUGCACAUGGACAUGCCAGAGGGAUCUAUUUAGUCGGCUACGCGGAUAACAUCGUCGUAGUAAUAAAUUGGUAAGAAAGAUUAAAUAUUAUCAGAGAAAUAAAGAAAAAUCCAACAAUAAGUGAUCCAAAAUUGGCUGUGUUUCAUUUAAUCCUUUACACUCGGGUGUCUCCUCUGAGAGGACAUCGUAAGUCUAGUAUAUCACUCAGAGGGGACAUCAGAGUUGAUUAGUGUUAUGAUGGAUUAACUAACACUAUCGCAACUUUUUGAAAAAUGCAUGUUUCUCUGAUGUUUUCUAUUAAAAUGGCAUAAAAAAUCGUAUU